UCGGACGUGCCUGGAGUGGGCGAAACGAGCGAAGGGGACUCGGCCGCCAUGUUAGGAGUGCUGGGACGAUUCUGCGGAUCCCGGCUGAGGUUUUAGGGAGCUUGCGAGCCGAGUGGUGGUGCAGUGGGGACGAGUCUGUCUACACUGUGAAAGAUGGAAAAUUUCUUUUCCUCCUGAGGGUGUCUGAAGGGUUAAAAAUGCAAUAAUACUUUAUGCUGUUUUUCUCCCUUUUGCACAAUUAUUCUGAAAACAAAACUUGUUACUUUGGGUCAGUAAGGGUAUGCAUUUCACCUCUCUGUUAGUAAUACUACAGGUGAUGAAUGUAUUCUAUCAGGAAAGGCUAAGCAGAGUGAUUAGAAAUGAUAAAAACAUGGUAGAAAUAGUCUUUCAGAUGUAUGCAGCUGACAACUUCAAAAACAUAGAAGAAUGGUCUGCCAUGUUUCUGAGAACAAGUCACAAGAUGAAAGGCUUUAUUUCAUUUUUAACAAAAGUAAUAUGUGUUGGUUUCAUUUAUCCAUACAAUACAAUGGGAAAGACUCAUACAAAUAUUUCUGUUCAGAAAUACUGUCUUUGCAAGUAAUGGUAAGUAUAGGAAAGGGAGCAAAAUGUUUGCUGAUUUCUUUCUGACCUUCAGUACAACUGUAGAAGUGUUUCACUUUUUUUUUUUUAAAUGUUUACUUAUUUUUGAGAGAGAGAAUAUGAGCAGGGGAGGGGCAGAGAGAAUGGGAGACAGGAUCGAAAGCACUGACAGCAGAGAGCCCUGCCGCCUAACCGACUGAGUCAGGUGCCCUUAAGUGUUUUACAUUUAACAGAGAAAAUUGGACAGGUUUGCAUUUAGGCUUAGUUUCAAACUCUUAAAUUAUUUUUAGGGGUUGGUGGUUCACUGGUGUGUCUUAUUUUACAAACCUUUAGUGAAUCUUGUUCGUUGUAGAAGAUAUUUCUUUAUAUAAGCAAUAACAUCCUCAAUCUGAGUUACUAUGGAAGACAAAUUUGCAGGGGCAGGGGGCAGAUUGCUUACAAAUCUUGUAUGUGAGAAACUAGACCUAUAUGAUGCAGUGAUUUCUAUAGUGUAUAAUUUGUCAUAUGUUUCGGUAGUUUGAAGUUUUCCAGGCUUACAUCCAGUGGACAUCUAACCAUAAAGAAAUGAAACAUCUAUUUAAUAUCUUUAAAAAGACUCUGAUUUAACCUUUAACUUUUAGGGGGGAAAAGUCUGCAUCCUUCUUUAGAAAUUUUAUUUACAAAGUUAAUAUUUGAGGAAUUGGACACCAGCUUCUGAAAGAUUAGCCUCAGUGAUCCAGAGAAAGCCCUGGGUUAGGUGAACGUUGAAAAGUGGGAUUAGGAAUGCUUGAAGUGGAUAAAGCAACUUAAGUUCUUUUCAUCUCAGAAAAGAAUUAGGAUAUUGAUUUGUGUUAUAAUUAUAGGUAGCUUAUUAAAGAGUAUGGAGUCAUUUGCUCUUAUGGCAGGGUUUUUUUUCAACAGCUUCAAGUGUCAGGAUCACAUAGAGAACUCUAAAAAUAUAUAGCUGAGAACUCUAAAAUAAAAUAAAAAUAUAUAGAGAACUCUAAAAAUAUAAAAUAAAACAGAUAGUUGUCCACUCAUCUGUUGAAUUGUUGAAUUAUUCUGCUAGGUUGGAACCCAUUGUGUAUUUUUAAAACUAUGAGUGAGUGGACAGUGGUAGGGUAGAGUAGUUCUCUACAUCCCAUAUUUGUGUUUAUUGUGGUGCAUUACACUAGUAAUAAUAAAAGUUUUGGCAAAGAUUACAGGCUUGUUAGUAAUUAUACCCAUAAGUGAAUUCUGAAAAUGUGUAGAUGAGGAAAUGAUCUGGGCAUCAGUCUAUACAUUGGUGAGGGGAGUGGGUUGGGGGAGAUUUAGUUUAGCCUUAUGAGUACCAUGAUAUCUUGAAUUAUCUGGAUAUUUCUUAGAGUUAGAGUUGAGUGUAAUACUAAGAAAGUAAGGAUAAGAGACACUUCUUGAAUAAGAGCUCAUGCUAUCACAAGGUUAUGGUAAAGCUAUUCAGAUUUUUUUUUUUUUUAGAGAGCAGGAGUCUGGAAAAAGGGCAGAGAGAGAAUCCCAAGCAGGCUCCAUGCUGAGCAUGGAACCCAAUGUGGGGCUUGUUCCCACAACCCUAGGAUCAUGACUGGAGCUAAAAUCAAGUCAGGUACUCAACCUGUUGAGCCACCCAGGUGUCCCAAGCUAUUCAAAUAUUUAAAAGAAGUAUUUU